rnacentral:rRNA from 1 species
CGCGCCCGUCGGGCGGGGGCAUGUAGUGGCGCAACGGGUGAGUAACACGUGGGCAAUCUGCCCUGCACUCUGGGCAAACUCCGGGAAACCGGAGCUAAUACCGGAUACGACCUUCCAGGGCAUCCUGGGGGGUGGAAAGCUCCGGCGGUGCAGGAUGAGCCCGCGGCCUAUCAGCUGGUUGGUGGGGUGACGGCCCACCAAGGCGACGACGGGUAGCCGGCCUGAGAGGGCGACCGGCCACACUGGGACUGAGACACGGCCCAGACUCCUACGGGAGGCAGCAGUGGGGAAUAUUGCACAAUGGGCGCAAGCCUGAUGCAGCGACGCCGCGUGAGGGAUGACGGCCUUCGGGUUGUAAACCUCUUUCAGCAGGGAAGAAGCGCAAGUGACGGUACCUGCAGAAGAAGCACCGGCUAACUACGUGCCAGCAGCCGCGGUAAUACGUAGGGUGCGAGCGUUGUCCGGAAUUAUUGGGCGUAAAGAGCUCGUAGGCGGCCUGUCGCGUCGGAUGUGAAAGCCCGGGGCUUAACCCCGGGUCUGCAUUCGAUACGGGCAGGCUAGAGUUCGGUAGGGGAGAUCGGAAUUCCUGGUGUAGCGGUGAAAUGCGCAGAUAUCAGGAGGAACACCGGUGGCGAAGGCGGAUCUCUGGGCCGAUACUGACGCUGAGGAGCGAAAGCGUGGGGAGCGAACAGGAUUAGAUACCCUGGUAGUCCACGCCGUAACGUUGGGGCACUAGGGUGUGGGGCGGCAUUCCACGUCGUCCGGUGCCGCAGCUAACGGCAUUUAAGUGCCCCGGCCUGGGGAAGUACGGGCCGCAAGGCUAAAAACUCAAGGAAUUGACGGGGGCCCGCACAGCCGGCGGAACCAAUGUGCUUAGUUCGACGCAUCGGCGAGAGAGAG